GAGCAACACCGCGUGAGUGAAGAAGGGUUUCGGCUCGUAAAGCUCUGUUGUUGGAGAAGAACGUGCGUGAGAGUAACUGUUCACGCAGUGACGGUAUCCAACCAGAAAGUCACGGCUAACUACGUGCCAGCAGCCGCGGUAAUACGUAGGUGGCAAGCGUUAUCCGGAUUUAUUGGGCGUAAAGCGAGCGCAGGCGGUUGCUUAGGUCUGAUGUGAAAGCCUUCGGCUUAACCGAAGAAGUGCAUCGGAAACCGGGCGACUUGAGUGCAGAAGAGGACAGUGGAACUCCAUGUGUAGCGGUGGAAUGCGUAGAUAUAUGGAAGAACACCAGUGGCGAAGGCGGCUGUCUGGUCUGCAACUGACGCUGAGGCUCGAAAGCAUGGGUAGCGAACAGGAUUAGAUACCCUGGUAGUCCAUGCCGUAAACGAUGAGUGCUAGGUGUUGGAGGGCUUCCGCCCUUCAGUGCCGGAGCUAACGCAUUAAGCACUCCGCCUGGGGAGUACGACCGCAAGGUUGAAACUCAAAGGAAUUGACGGGGGCCCGCACAAGCGGUGGAGCAUGUGGUUUAAUUCGAAGCUACGCGAAGAACCUUACCAGGUCUUGACAUCUUGCGCUAACCUUAGAGAUAAGGCGUUCCCUUCGGGGACGCAAUGACAGGUGGUGCAUGGUCGUCGUCAGCUCGUGCCGUGAGAUGUUGGGUUAAGUCCCGCAACGAGCGCAACCCUUGUUACUAGUUGCCAGCAUUAAGUUGGGCACUCU
rnacentral:rRNA from 1 species